UUUUUGUUCUUACAGACAGGAGGCCGGAGGAUUGUAGUACAUAUUCUGCAAACAAUGGCGUAAGUGGAAAGAAGACUGAAGAUUAAUUAUUCCUCUCAAAGCCCAUGGAGAACCGGUUGUUAUUUCCCAGAUCGAUGCACUAAGCAGCGCUUGGGUGUACGUACCAAAGGCCUGUAGAAAGCUCGAGAAAACACCCCGAGGAAAGUUCAGGAAGAGCUUUCAAGGUUUUCUAAAGACGGGGAUCCUCCAUUGGGUUUGGAAGAAGAUACAUCGCUCACCCACCGGCACUUGGUCAAGUGGCACGUGAGAUGAGCCUGAUCAGGAGAGCAUGUAACGCCUCUUGCUGGCGACACGCGUGUGUGGCCUAGGCUUGGUCACUGAUCACAGGAGCUCAUGGCGGAUACAGUUUUGUUGCUUUGUCGCCUGUAGAAGCUGGCGGGGGAAAGAACAAGUCCUAGUACUAGUUAACAAGUAGAGAAACUAUAUGCAUACCGAUGCGAGAUAGAUAUAUAAUUUCAGAUUGGAUGGAUCUGUCUGUGUCACGAGUCAUUGGGUUGUGCAAUGUAGUUAGAAACCCGCGUCUAAGGCCUCUGUACAAUGCACGGUGCUUAGUCAGAUAACCCAAGUUGAUGCUUAUUUUUAUA